rnacentral:lncRNA from 1 species
GCCGCGGGGCGCCGGGCUCCCGACAGCCGCAUUCCGACACAGCGCUCGGCCCGGCGCGCCGCGCUCCUCGGCGGCGGCUCCGCGCGCCCGGGCGCCGGGUGCACCUGUUCUUCAGCCGGCCCGCAGCCAACCCUCGGCCGGCAGCCCCGCUGGGAGACCAAUCCGAGCGCGGCGCGGCCGGCGGGCCGACCGACUCCCUCGCGCCGCCGCCGCCACCCGCGAGUCCCGCUCCGGCGAGCUGCGCGCCGCCACCGCCGGCCCGGCCGGGGACGCACGGAGCUGGGCAGCUGGUGCCGGCCGGCCCGCUGCGGAGGGAUGCCCAACCGCCGCAGAGGAUGCGAAAUCGCUCCUGCGCGCCUCGCCGCUCACGCCUGGGGAGGUGAAGCGGGGACCGCGGCGGGGAUGCCGGGCGACGCGCCCUCGGCCGGAGGCGGCUGCAGGCGGGCGCUGGCGGCCGCGCGGGUGCGGGGUGUGCGGAGCCGCGGCGGACGGGCUGGGCUGGAGGCGGAGCGGCGCCUCCGCCCAACUCCUAAUGGUGGAGAGCAGAACGGUACACUGAAAAGACGCAGAGAGCAGAGGAUGCCUUGGAACAGGAAGCCCCAGGGAUCUGGUACCUACCAGAGUCUUUUGCACAGACGCGCUUAAUAAAUUAUCUUUGAUGGGGACAGACCUAAUCUUCGCUAAUCAUCCAUGAGAUAAAGAACAAGGAGUUGGAAGGUCUAAGUCCACCGUUUACAGCACGAUCAGGAAAAAGGAGAGAAGUCUAUGUUUGGUCUCAUCACAGGAACCUUGAAGACAUGUAGUCAACAGCCUUAAACAGAAGGCUUGAGAACACUGGAGUAAGUCACUGCUGUAAACGUGUACAUCCUGACCAUAAAAUACCAUUGGAUUACUCAGAGACUUUGAUGGAGAUCAAGAACGCCUCAUUCACCUGCCUUAUUUGGCUACUUUUUCAUACCACAACUAUCAACAUCUCACAAAGGAUCGCUCUGCAGAGCACUUUUAGAAAUGCAAACACAGACCUU